UUUAAAUCAACAAACAUUUAUUAUCUCACAAUCACCAUGGGUCAGGAGUCUGGGUCCUUCAUGUAGGAUCGCACAAGGCUAUAAUCAGUCAGCUGGACUGCGUUCUCCUCUGGAGGCUUGACUGGGAAAGAAUUUACUUCCAAACUCACGCAGGUCAUUCUCACAUUUAUUUCCUUGUGACCAGGGAGCUGAGGACUCAGGGCCUCAGUUUCCUGGUGGCUACUGGUUGCCCUCAGCACCUGGAGGUCACCCUAGUUCCUUUCCUGGUGGUUCCGACCACAGCCCUCUUAUAACACGGCAGCUUGCUUCUUUGCCAAGAAGAGAGGAAGUGUUUAGAGUGAGUUUGGUGGCAGAACAGAAUUUUACAUAAUGUAACACAGUCAGUCACAGGAGUGACGUCCCAUUACAUUUGCACAUCUGAUUGGUUAGAAGCAAGUUCAGAGGUGCUGCCCACAUUCAAAAGGCAGGGAUGAUUGGGAGUCUGUCCACGAGAGCUGUGUUCCAAUAAAACUUUCGAAAAACAAGUGGAGGCUGGAUUUGGCCCAUAGGCCAUGGCUUGUAGAUCCCUGGUACAAUAGAUAGAUAAGACAUAGAAGCCAUUGCUAACGUAAAAAGAGAUAAAAAUACAUGAAAUAAAGUUAGAAAAAAAAAAAAAAAAAGAACCUUCAGAGCAAGAAGAGCCAUGUAGAAAUACAAUCACAGAAAAAAUGUAUUACUGAUUCUGGUCCUAUCUCAAAAUACAUCUAUUACCUUGUUCAUAAAAAAAUGAAGGGAGAUUCCACCACACAAAAAAAAUUAAGGGAGUUCCCAUUGUGGCUCAGUGAGUUAAGAAUCUGACCAGUAUUCAUGAGGAUGUGGGUUCGAUCCCUGGUUUUGCUCAGUGGUUUAAGGAUCUGGCCAUAGGGUGCACUGUAGAUCACAGAUAUGGCUUGAACCUGGCCUUGCUGUGGCUGUGGAUUGAACCCACAUUCUCAUGGACACUAGUCAGACUGCAUCACAACAAGCCAUGUCUGCAAACUACACCACAGCUCAUGGCAGAAUUGAACCCCCAUCCUCAUGGAUGGAUACUAGUCAGAUUGCAUCACAAUAGGAACUCCACAUUUUGGUUGUUUUUUUAACUGACUGUAUAAUAUAUUACACUUCAAGAAGCCAGGAACUGUAUUAGUUUUGCUCAUGACUGUUAGCAUAGUACCUAGUGUACACACAGUUCCUGGAACCAUAGGCAUCACUGAAUAUUUGUGAAGGAAAUAAAUGUCUGACUUCAAUGCCCUUACACUAAAUACUGUACAACCGUAUUUCAAAUUUGCAGAUUUUAGAAGAGAUCUUCCUCUUCAAUCUGUCCGGAAUUAUCAACAUAACAUACCCCAAGGCAUUAGCGAUGCUUCAAUCUCCCUCAACACUCUUCCCCAAACCCAUUCCCAGAUUAAAAAGAAUAUGGAGAAUGACAUGAACAGGAGGAGGAAGGGGCUGAUGAUGUUGGCUUGGGGCAGGCGAAUUCUCAUUCAUGGUUGGUGAAAGUAUAAACUGAUGUGAACCUUUGGGAAAACAAUUUAUCAAUAUGCAAAACAGCCUUAAAAUAAAUGCACACAGAUAAAAACAUACACAGACAAGGGUAUUUUAAUUUACAUGAAGCAUGUGAAAAGAUACAAAACAAAUGUUUCCGACUAGUUAGGGAGGUGCUUCUGGGGAGUGAGAUAGCAAAAGAGACUUCUUAACUGUUUUUUUUUUUAAAUAGGCAAUUUUAUUUUUAUAAUACAAUCACAUUAGAAAUAAAAAUAGAAAGCAAAUCUUCAUAGUUUUGGCAUAAUAAUCCCAAUUCUAGCAAUCUAUAUUAAUAAAAUAAGACAUGCGGUCUAGGUUUAUUUAUAAUGAUAUUCCCCAGCGUAUUCUUUAGCAUGUUAAAAAAUUGGAAAUAAUCUAAAUGCCCCAAAAUAGAUUGGUUGACUAAAUAAAGCGUAGUAGCUCAUUUAAAUGAAGGACAAUUUAAUAUACGUUAAAAUUAUGUUUUACACAAUAAGGGCAAGAAAAAUCCUUAUGUUACAAUGUUACAGAAGCAAAGCAAAGUGUGAAACUAUAUUUAUUGCAUUAAUCCAAUUUGUUAUGUAAAAAGGAAAAAAAGGAGAAAGACAUAUGAAUAGAAAAAACAAAAAACAAAAAACAACUUUCAAUAAAAUCUACCAAAAUGUCAUUAAUGGCCAUUUCUAGAUGAUGAGAUUCUACAAUUUUAGGUUAUUCCUUCAUGGUUUUUUUNCUUUUUUGUUUUUUUUUUUUUUUUUUUUUUUGUAUUUCCUAACUAAAAACAAUCAUAUUUUCUAACAGAAGAAUUGCAAACAUUAUUUGUAAUACUCCUUUCUAGAAAGUAAUUUAUUUUUAUUCAAUCCUUUUGAUAAGCAACUUGCAAUACAUGUUAAUGUACUAAGAGAAUAGGUUUCAGUUCCCACUUAUUGCCCCAUCCAUCUUACUUCUCUGAAAAAGUAACACACAUUUAAUAAUCCUUGGGAAUGAUACUUUUUUUGACUUGUGUAUUGUAACAAUGGUGAUACCUUAAGAAAUAAAAUUAUCGACAAUAAAUAUAUUUCAGGAUGGGAGUUCCUGCUACGGCACAGCAGAAACAAAUCUGAGGUUGUGGGUUCCAUCCCUGGCCUCCUAGCCUGGGAAUCUCCACAGGCUGUAGGUGCGGCC
rnacentral:lncRNA from 1 species